rnacentral:misc_RNA from 1 species
AGUUCUAUCGGCAAUGUGAUCCAGGUGAGAUAGGCUUUUCUUCUUUGCUUGAAUUGAAUUACUUACUGGGUUAAUUCUUAGACGAAAUGAUAUCGUAAUUUCCUUGGAUUUAUUUAUUUAUUUAUACUUGAUUUCUGUAUGUAUUGGAUAUUAUGUUUUGUUAUUGAAUCCAUGGCUUCUGAGGCACCUACGGUAAUUGAUAUUUAUUUGCGUGGCUUGAAAAACAUGAAUGAAUGACAAUCUUGCCAUUUGGAAAGAAUAGCAUGCACUGAGCUAAUAGGCUAUAUGGAGUAAAAAAUCAUACUGGGUUAUGUCAAAGCCCAAAGCUUUGUUGGUAGACUUAACUAUUGGAGAUAGGAGACAAAGUGUUGGAUAGUCCAUGUGUUUGAGGAGGGAAAUGCAUUGAAAAGCUUGUAGAUAGUUUUGGAAGUUUAUACCACCAUACAUUGUUGUCUAAGGUUGGGGGACUUGAUUUUUCAGUUUUUGUUAAGUUAGAGGAUAACCAGAGUAGUGGCAGUGCCUUCUUGUGGAUAGGUAGGGAGAGAGGGAGUAAAACUAGGCCAUCUAAUUUUACCUUUCGGAAAUCAUAAUUCUCAAUUUCAUUUGAUUCAGCUCGUUUGAGUUGAGGUAAUUAAUUUCCUUGGAAAAAAAUACAAAAACACACUUGAAUACUAAUAAAAUAUUAGAUUUAGGCAUCUGCUCUGGAACUUUGCAUCAGAGCUUUUGAUUUCCAUUGCUUCUAACAUUUACAACCCUGGAGUUGAUUUUAUCUGUGUGGUCUUUCCCACUUGUCAAAUGAGGAACAUUUUAAUAACUAUUCUUAUGGUCUCUAUAACUGAUCUAUGUAUAUUGUAUAUUCAGAGAAGGAGAAUCUGUGCUUG